UGUGUAAAAUUUGAAAAUUGUACAUUCAGAAAAAUUCCAUAAAAACAAAAAAAAAGUUUCGCUAAAAGUUUAAAAUGUCGAUUUUAGAAAAAGACUAAUGGGACUCCUGAAACAGAAGCUCGCAUUUUGUCAAGCAAAUAAAAUGGCGUAGGCGCGAUCGCCAGCUACGAUAGUGAUGAUAUACAGAAAUUACAUGAGUCCGAAAAAACAGAGACGUUUGAAGUAGUUCUAGAUUGCCUCUCGGCAUGAACUUAGCUAAUGAUAAAGAUGUUAGGAUGAUCCCGCCACUUCCGCCGCCGCCAACAGCUGAGGAGAAGAAAAAGCCUCAAUCGCCUGUAGUGACAAAUGAUAUCGUCCAAAAGGAGGUCAAUCAAUUUAUCGUAGAUUUCGAGGAAUCAACAGAACUGCAUCAAGCGAUUGUGCAUUUGGAGAUUAACUUGCAAACAGUGGUUUCUGGAAGCCCUCUUACAACACGAUUUGUAAGCAACCAAGAAACGCGAAAACGUAUCAAACAGUGAAGUUAAUAUUAGUUUCCUUCAUAACAAAUAUACAUAUCGCCGUACCUAUCGUAAAUCGUUGAUUUGUCUACAAAGUUUUUCUUGUAAUCGCUAUCUUUAGCUGCAGCUUUUCCUUGUUAUACUAAUUAUCUAUCUGGUUCCAUUUUUUUGCUGCCUGUCAAAUGUUUUUGGGAGAAAACGUUGAAAAAAUAGUGAAAAUUAACUAUUUUUGCAAUAUAAUCUUUGAAGUCCCAAAUCGGAAUUGACAAUAUUUAAAUAUACAGUGAAAUCAAUUGAUAUUUUAGGUUAAAGUUUUAGAUAAUAAACUUAGCAACGAAAUGGCAUUAAUGGGGCUUCCGAAAAAAUCGAAAUUUGAGGAAAUUUUCGUAGUACCGGUACAUGCAGUUAAAAUACAAAAAUUGAUCGAAAAGCAGAUGAUGGAGAAGCCCGCAGCUAUAUAGCUAUACCUCUAUACCGGAUUUUUAGUUGUGGUCCAAUAUAACGUUGGGAUACAAUUGAAUUGGUUUCGGAUGAUGACCAGGAUCGUGAAAGUUUAUUCUCGGAAAAAAAUCAUGGUAAACAAGAAAAUUCUGGUGAAGGUGAUGAUAUCAAUAACGACGAGUUUAAAGAAAAUCGCAUUCAAAACGCUAAUUCGAUUGAAUUGAAAUGGUCAUCACACGCUCAAAAUAGCGCACAUUCCAAAAGCCAAUUCAUCAGGCUCGAUUAUUAACUUUUUCAAGAAUACAAUGAAUACACAAAACAAAUCUGAUCUGCCAUAUUUAUUCGCAUCUGGCUCAAAAUCAAAUGUUAAAUAAUCGUAAAUCUCUUCAGUGCAAGAGUUGGAGUCUGAAUGGCAUCGAAACUGUACAACUCAUACUGGUCCUAACAAGGGAAACGGUAUUAAUAACGAUGCGAAAAUUUCGCAAAUUUGCUCUUUAGACAAUCUUAUCAACAAAAACCAAGCAUUAUGCAGUCAUCAACGGCGAUUCAUCAUACAUACAGCAAACGCAACUUUUUUUUUACGGCACCAGCAGCAAGCCGCCCUAUGCUUAUCGGGGAUCAACAAUGCAGUAAAUCCUUAAUUGAGACUUUAAGUGAAAGAUGUUCAACAGAAAGACCUUCAGCAGAAACAAAAAGUGUGAAUGAAAAGGAAUUUUUAUUUCUCGGCGGUGGUUACAAACUUAUUCCUUAUAAUGAGUACAGCUCUUUUUACAACAGAACAGGUUGUAACUAUGCCCCAAUGCAAGAAAAGAAAACUGCAUGUAAAAACUUCGAAGUUUAUGAUCUCCUAAAAACAAAUUGUUACUCUCAAAUAUGGCGCAAUCUAGGUAUAAUAACUCUGCAAUUUCCUUGAAUGGCGUUAUAUAUUCUCUAGGUGGAUGCGAUUCAAAUGGUACACAAUUGACUACCGCUGACAUGGAUGGAUGACGAUUAGUCCAUCGCUGCCAAUCAGUCAAAUGCGGAUGAAAGUCGAUUUCGUUGCGUGGUCUCAUAUCCGCCCAAUAGUAAUGUUGAAGUGGAAUUACAUUUGGGUGACAUUAUCUUCGUAAGACGUAAACAAAAAAAUGGCUGGUAUAUGGGCAUAAAUUCUCGUACUAAGAAAACUGGCUUGUUUCCUGCUUCCUUUGUCGAGCGGAUCUUGGUUUUCUCAACAUUUGUUGGAUAUAGA